rnacentral:rRNA from 1 species
AAUGAACACUUGCAACAGUAAAGAGCCGCAGUAAUAUAACUGUGCAAAGGUAGCAUAAUCAUUAGUCUUUUAAUUGAAGAAUAAAAUAAAAGGAUUAACAAAAAACCUGUUUUCUUAAUUUAGAGCGUGGAAUUUAAUAUUUAAGUGAAAAAGCUUAAAUUUAUAUUAGGGACAAUAAGACCCUUUAGAGUUUAAAUUUAUUUUCAAUAAAAAAUAAGUUAAAAAAAAGUUUAAUUGAAAAUAAAUUUUUGUUGGGGUGACAGCGAAAAUAAUAAACAUUUUAUUAAUAAAACAUAAAUAUGUGGAUAAAUUUAUGAUCCAGUAAUAUUGAUUAAAAGAAUAAAUUACCUAAGGGAUAACAGCGUAAUUAUUUUUUGGAGUACGAAUUUACAAAAUAGAUUGCGACCUCGAUGUUGGAUUAAGAAAACUUAAUGGUGCAGAAGUUAUUAGGG